rnacentral:rRNA from 1 species
UACGAAGGGGGCUAGCGUUGUUCGGAAUUACUGGGCGUAAAGCGCGCGUAGGCGGCUAUCCAAGUCAGUGGUGAAAGCCCGGAGCUCAACUCCGGAACUGCCAUUGAAACUGUUUAGCUUGAGGACGAGAGAGGUGAGUGGAAUUCCCAGUGUAGAGGUGAAAUUCGUAGAUAUUGGGAAGAACACCGGUGGCGAAGGCGGCUCACUGGCUCGUAUCUGACGCUCAGGCGCGACAGCGUGGGGAUCAAACAGG